AUCAGGUAGGAACACCCGCUGAACUUAAGCAUAUCAAUAAGCGGAGGAAAAGAAAAUAACAAUGAUUCCCCUAGUAACUGCGAGUGAAGAGGGACAAGCUCAAAUUUUAAAUCUGUCGGGUUUUUCCUGACCGAGUUGUAAUUUGAAGAAGCGUUUUCUGCACUGUUUGAUCAGCCCAAGUCCUAUUGAAUGAGGCAUCAUGGAGGGUGAUAAUCCCCUCCGGUUGAUCAUUGUGCUCUACGAUACGCUUUCAAAGAGUCAAGUUGUUUGGGAUUGCAGCUUAAAAUGGGAGGUAAAUUUCUCCUAAGGCUAAAUAACGGCGAGAGACCGAUAGCGAACAAGUACCGUGAGGGAAAGAUGAAAAGAACUUUGAAAAGAGAGUUAAACAGUACGUGAAAUUGUUGAAAGGGAAACGAUUGAAGCCAGUCGUACCUUCGGGUAAUCAGCCUUUCGGGUGCGAUUCUGUGAGGUGUGAGGAGUUAAACGCCUUCAUGUUUUGCAUAUUCGUGCUCUUGGGUGUACUUGCCCGUGUGGUUGGUUAACAUCAAUUUUGGACGCCAUAAAAUGACUGGAGGAAUGUAGCUUCGAUCUCGUAUUGAAGUGUUAUAGCCUUCGGUAGAUGUGGUUUUCGAGAUUGAGGAUUGCAACGGAUACCCUUCGGGGCUACCUAUCUGAUCUCUGAUCGUUGCUCUGGUGUCGAAAGCUUGCUACGGUUAUCAAAGUCGAUGGUCAAUAGGUUAGAAUAGGUUAAAUUCGUUAAGGAUGUUGACGUAAUGGCUUUAAACGACCCGUCUUGAAACACGGACCGAGGAGUCUAACAUAUGUGCGAGUGUU
rnacentral:rRNA from 1 species